rnacentral:rRNA from 1 species
GAUGAACGCUAGCUACAGGCUUAACACAUGCAGGUCGAGGGGCAGCAUGGUCUUAGCUUGCUAAGGCCGAUGGCGACCGGCGCACGGGUGAGUAACACGUAUCCAACCUGCCGUCUACUCUUGGACAGCCUUCUGAAAGGAAGAUUAAUACAAGAUGGCAUCAUGAGUCCGCAUGUUCACAUGAUUAAAGGUAUUCCGGUAGACGAUGGGGAUGCGUUCCAUUAGAUAGUAGGCGGGGUAACGGCCCACCUAGUCUUCGAUGGAUAGGGGUUCUGAGAGGAAGGUCCCCCACAUUGGAACUGAGACACGGUCCAAACUCCUACGGGAGGCAGCAGUGAGGAAUAUUGGUCAAUGGGCGAGAGCCUGAACCAGCCAAGUAGCGUGAAGGAUGACUGCCCUAUGGGUUGUAAACUUCUUUUAUAAAGGAAUAAAGUCGGGUAUGCAUACCCGUUUGCAUGUACUUUAUGGAUAAGGAUCGGCUAACUCCGUGCCAGCAGCCGCCGCGG